CUGAUAUUUUAUGACCAAUUCAACUGUCAGAUUAAUGCGAAUGAGCCUCAAUAACAUAUCAUAUGUGCAUCAGAAUAGAUUAAUCACACAUAUGGUAUGCUGUAAAGCUUGUUAAUCUGGCUAUCAAGUUUGUUUUUCCUUCUUUUUUUAUGUUAAACUUCUCUUUUGUAUAGAUUUUUUAUUUUAAAAAGCUCUGAUUUUUCAUUGUCUUUAUAUGAAGGAUGAGUUGUUGUGGGGAGCUGCUUAGCUGCACAAAGCCACCAAAAACCCAGCUUAUCUGAACUACAUUCAAGCGAAUGGUCAAACAGUUGGAGCUGAUGAGACUGACAAUACCUUUGGUUGGGAUAACAAACAUUGCUGCAAACUCAAGAGGUAACAGUGAAGCUAGAAAAGAAGCUACAGGAUUUGCAUUUCUCAGACAAACACGUCAUCAUUCCAAACCAUCUUCAUGUCCCUGAAGCUGAGAGAAGUGGAUUGAGUUUCAGAAGCUUUGAUGCUAGUUUUGGGCCUAAUGCAAUCUUCACAAAUGAACUAGAUACUGACAAGAGCUCUACACCUUUGUCUGAGUCAUCUUAGGUGAUCAAAGAGUCAGCUAAGGAGCCUUCUUCAAGGUUGCCGCCAACCAUUCCGUAUAAGAGGUCAAAGGACAAACUCCUUCGAGGGUAGUAAGGUCUAUCAUUGUCAUGACAGAAAACUUUUUUGUUGGUAUUGUGCUUUUAUGAAUGGAUUAAAAUGAAUGAUUGUAUUUGAUAGAAUGAAUGAAUGAUUAUGCACAAGUUUAUAAAUGGAUUAAAUUGAAUGAUUUAGCCUCAAUUGUUGAGAACUGAGGUUAAAAAUUGAAUUUAGCCUAAGUUGAUGCUAACAGAGG